GGGGAUUUGGCUCGGUGGUAGAGCGCUUGCCUAGCAAGCACAAGGCCCUGGGUUCGAUCCCCAGCUCCG
rnacentral:tRNA from 1 species